AAAAAUGAUUUUUUAUAUAUUUAUUAAUAAUAUGAAUUAAUAUAAAUUAUUUUUAUUUGGUGAAAUAUUAAAUAUAAUUAUAUAUUAAUAAUUAAAUAUGAUUAAAUUUAUGUAGUUAAUAUUUAUAAACUAGGAUUUGGUACCCUAUUAUAGUUAAUUAAAAUUUUAAAGUGAAAAUUAAAUGUGAUAGAUCAUUAAAUUUAAAUAAUUUGGCGGUAUAUUAAAAAUAUUAGGGGAACUUGUAAAUUAAUAUGAUAAUCCACGAUAAGAUAAAUUUAUUAUUUUUUAGUGUACUGUUGUUUUAAAUAUUUUUAAAUGAUUAUGGUAAAUAUUUAUUAUAAAAUAAUUAUUCAAAUCAAAGUGCUGAUAUUAAUAAAUUUUUAUGAGUUACAUUAAAUUUAAAAUUAAUUGGAUUUAAAAUAUUAAGAUUUUAAUGAUAAAGGAUUUAAAAGUAAAUUUAUUUAAUUUAAUAGAUUGAAUUGUAGAGUUUAAUUAUGUACAAACUGCCCGUCACUUUCAUUAAAAGUGGAAUAAGUCGUAACAAGGUAAAAUUACCGGAAGGUGAUUUUAGAAUAAA
rnacentral:rRNA from 1 species